rnacentral:rRNA from 1 species
GACGAACGCUGGCGGCGUGCUUAACACAUGCAAGUCGAGGGGGCAGUUGGGGCAACCUGGCUGUCACCGGCGAACGGGUGCGUAACACGUGAGCGACCUACCUCUUGGCGGGGGAUAGCC